rnacentral:lncRNA from 1 species
AUACCCCCGACCUGCUACCACCUCAGGUCUGGGAAAGAUCACACUUUAAGCUUUUUUUUUCCUUUUUUUUUUUUUAACUGCAAUGAGACAGAAAUUUCAGAAGAGGAAAAGAAUCUGGAAACAGAAUCUCUGAAUCUCUGACCGUCUAAUGCUGCAGGUUUUGGAAGGCUGCCAACGUGCUCAAGGAGCCAUGGAGAAAAUAAGUGCUGUCCCUUCAAAGAAACGUCUUUCAGAAAGGAAAAAAAAAAAAAAAAAAAAAAAAUCCCAUGAACGGCCUUCUUUCUCUAGAAGACUGGAGGGAUUUUUCCCUCAGGUCAAUGACCAUCACAUAACUGAUCAUAUUUUCGUUUUUGUUUUGGCCCGUGGCAAGCAUAGAAUCAAAUUUACAGCUCAAUUUUAUUAACCUCAUAGGACACUCUAGUCUAAAUAUUUAUUCUAGCUUUUGACAUGGCCUUUCCUUUUUAUGUUUAUAUAUUCCUAGGUACCAAUUUUCAACUGUUUUAUACUGUACUAGCUUGUAGAUUAUGUAUGCUUGCUGACAAACUCAGUUCCUAUGUAACCAAUAGACAAAAUAAAUAAUUACUUCAAUAAAUAAAUAAUUUGGUCA